GCCAAAGCUGCCACAGGUGAAAUCCAUUUCCUCCUGUGAACAACAUCAGCCAGGAAUUACACGGCAGCCUGUGAUUUUACACUGCUGGGAAAUGAAGGAGGAGGAACAAAUUUAAACAUCAAUUAAAACAAUCAAACUCCA